CGAUGGGCUCCGCUGCGGGUGCUGGUGCUGCUGCUGCUGCGGGGGUGGCAGCGGCGGCGGCCUUCUCCAUCUCAGGGACUGUGCCAUUGGCAGGGGCAGGUGCUGCCGCCUUGGCUCCGUCCUUUCCAGCAGCAGCUGGAGCUCCAUCCUUGGCGGCGGCAGCUGGAGCAGGUGGGGGAGGUGGCUUCAUGUGUGGCGGGGGUGUGUGCUUCAGCUUCAGCAGUAUCUGGCGCAUCCGUGCCAUGUCGGUCGGCUUCCCGGGCUUUGGUCC
rnacentral:lncRNA from 1 species